AGCAAAGGCUGGAGGGUGAGUUUUAUCUCUCUUUACUUGGUAUUCUUGCUGGGAUUAAAGCACGUGGAGUUCUGCUACUAGUGGCUUGCAGCACUGCUUCAUCUUGAUGUUUCUUAUGUGAAACACCUCAUCCAGGAGAUGGGAUAACUAGCCUAAAGCUUGGAAUGUGAAUUUGGGUUUACUGCUCUGAUUGUAAGUUUCAUGAGGUUUGGAUCUGCAGAUGGGCAAGCAUGGAACGUAUAUCCUUUAAAGAGAGGAGAAUAAUGAGUUUUAACCUUUCAUUUUGGGAGUAUUUGUGCUUUUGACUGAGGACUGGCUUUUAGGUUGUGAUUCACAACAGUUUUUAAAGUGAGGUGGUGACUUCAGUCCUAAUAAGUGUUU